rnacentral:lncRNA from 1 species
CGAAAAAAAAACUAUAAUAAAAAGAAAGUUCAAAAUUUAAAUAUUGAUGUAACCUUUUCAAAGAAAAAUAAAGCAGACCAAUACAUUCAAAAAAGCAAAAGUGUCAACAAUCAAAAACACAUGCUUUCAAGAACAAGACAAUUUUCCCUUUUCUUCUCUUCCUAGCAACCAUCACCAUGUAUCUUCGAGAUGAAGAAAGCAAAAUGCCUGUAAACACACACUAGAGACACAGAGAGACACCAAAUUAGCGAAGCAUAAAAUCUAAAACAAUGAGGCACCAUUAUAGCACAACUACUCUGUUCUUCUUCAUCACUUUCCUUUCUCUCUUCUCCUCAAAAUUUGCCUCAUCUCUAGACACCUUAACAGCAACACAAUCUCUCAUAAAUGGCCAAACUCUCAUCUCCACAAGCCAGUGCUUUGAGCUUGGAUUCUUCACUCCUGGCAAUUCAAGAAACUGGUAUGUGGGGAUAUGGUACAAGAACAUACCAAGAACGUACGUGUGGGUUGCUAACAGAGACAACCCUAUUUCAAACUCCUCUGGAACCUUCAAAAUCUUCAAUCAAAGCAUUGCUCUAUUUGAUCUAGCAGGGAAUCUCGUAUGGUCAUCCAACCAAACCAAUGUGAGAAACCCAGUUAUGCAGUUGCUAGAUUCAGGAAACCUGACAUGAAGUUAGGCUGGGCUCUGAACACAGGUCUAGACAGGUACUUGAGUUCUUGGAAAAGCAGUGAUGAUCCUGGUACAGGUGAUUUCUCUUUCAAGUUAGAGUAUCAUGGAUUCCCUGAAGUAUUCCUGAGUUUCAAUUUUAUCACUGCGCAAGAUGAGGUAUAUUACUCGUUUCACAUAGCAACCAAGAAUUUAUAUUCAAGAUUGACAGUUACUUCAUCUGGGCUGCUCCAACGAUUUGCAUGGAUUCCAGAGACACAACAAUGGAAUAAAUUUUGGUACGCACCAAAAGAUCAGUGUGACAACUACAGAGAAUGUGGUGCAUAUGGUAUUUGUGAUUCGAAUGCCUCGCCAGUUUGCAAGUGCUUGAAGGGUUUUCAACCUAAGAAUCAUCAGGCAUGGGAUUUGAGAGAUGGGUCAGGUGGGUGUGUUAGGAAGACGAAUCUGGAGUGCUUGGAAGAUAAAUUUCUGCACAUGAAGAACAUGAAAUUGCCACAGAGCACAACAUCAUUUGUGGACAGGAGUAUGAGUCUUAAGAAUUGUGAAUUGUUGUGCUCAAGGAAUUGUUCUUGCACUGCUUACGCCAACUCAAAUAUCAGCAAUGGAGGGUCUGGCUGUGUGAUUUGGACCGGUGAGCUCUUUGAUUUGAGGCAAUAUCCAGAAG